AUGUUCCCGUCCUCUUUCUGGACAGGGCAGGUGGCAAGGCCAAACCUGCAUGGCCAUGUUGAGGUCUGGCUCUGGGUCUCAUCUGGACGCUGCUCCUUGGGAAGGACCAGCUUGUUGUCCCUCUUCCAGACCAUGCUGAGACAGCUGGCACAGCUAGGGCCAUAUCCAGCAAGUGGAGACAUGGUCAGAGCAAUGGCCAGGAAGAGGGUCAGAGCGAUGGCCAGGAAGAGAGUCAGGCUGAGCUUCAUCCUGUUCUCUCCCAAGGAACAAUCUCAACUCACAAGUGGCUGUCUCCCAGAGCCAGAUGGCACUGCCGGUGCCAUAUCCAGCCAAUGGAGGCACGGUCAGAGCGAUGGACAGGAAGAGAGUUCGGCUAUUGCUCUCCACUGGACACUGCUCUUCAGGAAGCACCUGGACUUUGUUCCCAACCUCAUUCCGGAUGGGACAGUCUCUUAGGCCAAACCAGCCAGGCCAGGUGGAAAUCUGGCUCUUGGUAUCAUCGGGACGCUGGUCUUCGGGAAGUACCUGAUUUUUGUUCCCGUCCUCUUUCUGGACAGGGCAGGUGGCAAGGCCAAACCUGCAUGGCCAUGUUGAGGUCUGGCUCUUGGUCUCAACUGCAUGCUUGUCCUCAGAAAGAACCUGCUAAUUGUCCCCAUUCCUGUUCCUGACAGGGCAGGUGGUUAGGCCAAAUCAGCAUGGCCAUGUUGAGGUCUGGCUCUUGCUCUCCACUGGACGCUGCUUUUCGGGAAGCACCUGGACUUUGUUCCUGUCCUCAUUCCUGAUGGGGCAGGUGGUUAGCCAAACCAGCAGGACCAGCUGGAGGUCUGGCUCUGCGUCUUAUCUGGACACUGCUCCUCAGGAAGCACCUGGAUUUUGUCCCUCUUCUUGUUUGUCAUGGGCCAGUCUCUUAGGCCAAACCAGCAGGGCGAGGUGGAAAUAUGGCUCUUGGUCUCAUCGGGACGCUGCUGUUCGGGAAGCACCUGAUUUUUGUUCCCGUCCUCUUUCUGGACAGGGCAGUCUCUU
rnacentral:lncRNA from 1 species